GACGAACGCUGGCGGCGUGCUUAACACAUGCAAGUCGAACGGAAAGGCCCUGCUUUUGUGGGGUUCUCGAGUGGCGAACGGGUGAGUAACACGUGAGUAACCUGCCCUUGACUUUGGGAUAACUUCAGGAAACUGGGGCUCAUACCGGAUAGGAGCUCCUGCUGCAUGGUGGGGGUUGGAAAGUUUCGGCGGUAGGGGAUGGACUCGCGGCUUAUCAGCUUGCUGGUGGGGGAGUGGCUGACCACGGCUUUGACGGGUAGCCGGCCUGAGAGGGUGACCGGCCACAUUGGGACUGAGAUACGCCCCAGACUCCUACGGGAGGCAGCAGUGGGGAAUAUUGCACAAUGGGCGCAAGCCUGAUGCAGCAACGCCGCGUGCGGGAUGACGGCCUUUGGGUUGUAAACCGCUUUCGCCUUUGACGAAGCGUGAGUGACGGUAAUGGGUAAAGAAGCACCGGCUAACUACGUG
rnacentral:rRNA from 1 species